rnacentral:rRNA from 1 species
AGAGUUUGAUCCUGGCUCAGGACGAACGCUGGCGGCGUGCUUAACACAUGCAAGUCGAGCGAUGAAACCCUUCGGGGUGGAUUAGCGGCGGACGGGUGAGUAACACGUGGGUAACCUGCCUCAAAGAGGGGGAUAGCCUCCCGAAAGGGAGAUUAAUACCGCAUAACAUUAGUUUUUCGCAUGGAGAACUAAUUAAAGGAGUAAUCCGCUUUGAGAUGGACCCGCGGCGCAUUAGCUAGUUGGUGAGGUAACGGCUCACCAAGGCGACGAUGCGUAGCCGACCUGAGAGGGUGAUCGGCCACAUUGGAACUGAGACACGGUCCAGACUCCUACGGGAGGCAGCAGUGGGGAAUAUUGCACAAUGGGCGAAAGCCUGAUGCAGCAACGCCGCGUGAGUGAUGAAGGCCUUCGGGUUGUAAAGCUCUGUCUUUUGGGACGAUAAUGACGGUACCAAAGGAGGAAGCCACGGCUAACUACGUGCCAGCAGCCGCGGUAAUACGUAGGUGGCAAGCGUUGUCCGGAUUUACUGGGCGUAAAGGAUGCGUAGGCGGAUUUUUAAGUGAGAUGUGAAAUUCCCGGGCUUAACUUGGGAGCUGCAUUUCAAACUGGAAGUCUAGAGUGCGGGAGAGGAAAGUGGAAUUCCUAGUGUAGCGGUGAAAUGCGUAGAGAUUAGGAAGAACACCAGUGGCGAAGGCGACUUUCUGGACCGUAACUGACGCUGAGGCAUGAAAGCGUGGGUAGCAAACAGGAUUAGAUACCCUGGUAGUCCACGCCGUAAACGAUGAGUACUAGGUGUAGGAGGUAUCGACCUUCUGUGCCGCAGUUAACACAAUAAGUACUCCGCCUGGGAAGUACGAUCGCAAGAUUAAA